rnacentral:rRNA from 1 species
UCUUCUCCGCCGGCGACCGGCGGCCACGGGUGAGUAACACGUAUGCAACCUGCCCCUGUCAGGGGGACAACCCGCCGAAAGGCGGGCUAAACCCGCGUACAUGCCACCGGGGCAUCCCGGAGGCAGGAAAGGCUUCGGCCGGACAGGGAUGGGCAUGCGGCGCAUUAGGCAGUAGGCGGGGUAACGGCCCACCUAACCGACGAUGCGUAGGGGUUCUGAGAGGAAGGUCCCCCACACUGGUACUGAGACACGGACCAGACUCCUACGGGAGGCAGCAG